UGGGGAAUAUUGCACAAUGGGCGAAAGCCUGAUGCAGCGACGCCGCGUGCGGGAUGAAGGCCUUCGGGUUGUAAACCGCUUUUAAUUGGGAGCAACGAGAGUGAGUGUACCUUUUGAAUAAGCACCGGCUAACUACGUGCCAGCAGCCGCGGUAAUACNUAGGGUGCAAGCGUUAUCCGGAAUUAUUGGGCGUAAAGAGCUCGUAGGCGGUUUGUCACGCCUGGUGUGAAAGUCCAUCGCUUAACGGUGGAUCUGCGCCGGGUACGGGCAGGCUAGAGUGCAGU
rnacentral:rRNA from 1 species